AGGGUUAGGAGGUGUUACUAGACAGACAGACAGACAGACAGGUUAGAGUUAGGAGGUGUUACUGAACAGACAGACAGACAGGUUAGGAGGUGUUACUAUACAGACAGACAGACAGGCAGGCAGAAAGACAGGUUAGAGUUAGGAGGUGUUAAUGUACAGACAGACAGACAGGUUAGGAGGUGUUACUAUACAGACAGACAGACAGACAAACAGACAGACAGGUUAGGGUUAGGAGGUGUUACUGAACAGACAGACAGACAGACAGGUUAGGAGGUGUUACUAUACAGACAGACAGACAGACAGGCAGACAGACAGGUUAGAGUUAGGAGGUGUUACUGUACAGACAGACAGACAGGUUAGGGUUAGGAGGUGUUACUAUACAGACAGACAGACAGAGACAGACAGACAGGUUAGGGUUAGGAGGUGUUACUAUACAGACAGACAGACAGACAGACAGGUUAGAGUUAGGAGGUGUUACUGUACAGACAGACAGACAGACAGACAGACAGGUUAGAGUUAGUAGGUGUUACUAGACAGACAGACAGACAGACAGGUUAGAGUUAGGAGGUGUUACUAUACAGACAGACAGACAGACAGGUUAGGGUUAGGAGGUGUUACUGUACAGACUGACAGACAGACAGGUUAGGGUUAGGAGGUGUUACUAUACAGACAGACAGACAGGUUAGGGUUAGGAGGUGUUACUAGACAGACAGACAGACAGACAGACAGACAGACAGACAGACAGACAGACAGACAGGUUAGGAGGUGUUACUAUACAGACAGACAGGCAGGCAGACAGACAGGUUAGAGUUAGGAGGUGUUACUGUACAGAGAGACAGACAGACAGACAGGUUAGAGUUAGUAGGUGUUACUAGACAGACAGACAGACAGACAGGUUAGGGUUAGGAGGUGUUACUAUACAGACAGACAGACAGAGACAGAC
rnacentral:lncRNA from 1 species